GUCUAUGGCCAUAUCCCCCUGAAUGCACCCUAUCACAUCUGAUCUCAGAAGCUAAGCAGAGUCGGGCCUGGUUAGUACUUGGAUGGGAGACAGUGCUUCAGAAACAAGGUUCCCUGAGGUU
rnacentral:rRNA from 1 species